AGUGAACGCUGGCGGUAGGCCUAACACAUGCAAGUCGAACGGCAGCACAGUAAGAGCUUGCUCUUACGGGUGGCGAGUGGCGGACGGGUGAGGAAUACAUCGGAAUCUACUUUUUCGUGGGGGAUGACGUAGGGAAACUUACGCUAAUACCGCAUACGACCUACGGGUGAAAGCAGGGGAUCUUCGGACCUUGCGCGAUUGAAUGAGCCGAUGUCGGAUUAGCUAGUUGGCGGGGUAAAGGCCCACCAAGGCGACGAUCCGUAGCUGGUCUGAGAGGAUGAUCAGCCACACUGGAACUGAGACACGGUCCAGACUCCUACGGGAGGCAGCAGUGGGGAAUAUUGGACAAUGGGCGCAAGCCUGAUCCAGCCAUACCGCGUGGGUGAAGAAGGCCUUCGGGUUGUAAAGCCCUUUUGUUGGGAAAGAAAAGCAGCAGGUUAAUACCCCGAUGUUCUGACGGUACCCAAAGAAUAAGCACCGGCUAACUUCGUG
rnacentral:rRNA from 1 species